rnacentral:rRNA from 1 species
UACAGAGGUCCCAAGCGUUGUUCGGAUUCACUGGGCGUAAAGGGUGCGUAGGUGGCGAGGUAAGUCGGAUGUGAAAGCUCGGAGCUCAACUCCGAAAUGGCAUUGGAAACUACCUUGCUAGAGGGUCGGAGGGGGGACUGGAAUUCUUGGUGUAGCAGUGAAAUGCGUAGAUAUCAAGAGGAACACCAGUGGCGAAGGCGAGUCCCUGAACGACUCCUGACACUGAGGCACGAAAGCUAGGGGAGCAAACAGG